AUACGUAGGUGGCGAGCGUUGUCCGGAAUUAUUGGGCGUAAAGAGCGCGUAGGCGGAUACUUAAGUCUGUCGUAAAAAUGUGGGGCUCAACCCCGUAGUGUCGAUGGAAACUGGGUAUCUUGAGAGCAGGAGAGGAAAGUAGAAUUCCCAGUGUAGCGGUGAAAUGCGUAGAUAUUGGGAGGAAUACCAGUGGCGAAGGCGGCUUUCUGGACUGUUUCUGACGCUGAGGCGCGAAAGCCAGGGGAGCGAACGGGAUUAGAUACCCCGGUAGUCCUGGCCGUAAACGAUGGGUACUAGGUGUAGGAGGUAUCGACCCCUUCUGUGCCGGAGUUAACGCAAUAAGUACCCCGCCUGGGGAGUACGGCCGCAAGGUUGA
rnacentral:rRNA from 1 species